UAUUAUGUGUCUGUGUGUGUGUGUGUCUCUGUAUGUAUGUCUCUGUAUGAUACAGACACAUACAUACAGAGACACACACACAGACACA